rnacentral:misc_RNA from 1 species
AUGACGCUGCAACAGGAUUCU